GACGAACGCUGGCGGCGUGCUUAACACACGCAAGUCGAACGGUAAGGCCCUUCGGGGUACACGAGUGGCGAACGGGUGAGUAACACGUGGGUGAUCUGCCCUGCACUUCGGGAUAAGCCUGGGAAACUGGGUCUAAUACCGGAUAGGACCCUGGGAUGCAUGUCCUGGGGUGGAAAGCUUUUGCGGUGUGGGAAGGGCCCGCGGCCUAUCAGCUUGUUGGUGGGGGGAUGGCCUACCCAGGCGACGGCGGGUAGCCGGCCUGAGAGGGUGACCGGACACACUGGGACUGAGAUACGGCCCAGACUCCUACGGGAGGCAGCAGUGGGGAAUAUUGCACAAUGGUCGCAAGCCUGAUGCAGCGACGCCGCGUGAGGGAUGACGGCCUUCGGGUUGUAAACCUCUUUCAGCACCGACGAAGCGCAAGUGACGGUAGGUGCAGAAGAAGGACCGGCCAACUACGUGCCAGCAGCCGCGGUAA
rnacentral:rRNA from 1 species